rnacentral:rRNA from 1 species
AUGCAGCGGUGUCACGGAAAGGACAAGGCGGCUACCAGCGCGACGCCGCACCACGCAAAGGGCAAGGCGGCCGCGAGCGCGAUGCCGUACCACGCAAAGGAUAAGGCGGCUACUUGCGGCGCGAUGGGGCCGAAGCAUGUCCUCGCAGACGAGAACAUCGUGCAGGAGCACUUAGCACCUCCGGAUCGAAUUCGACAGAGGGGUUUGGAUAGUGCAAAGGAGAGAUCAUCAUCGCUGGUUAUGGGCUUCCGUAGAGAGAUGUCGCAAAAGCGAGGGGAGAAGGGGGAUACAACCUCAAUACAUCAGAAGCAUAAUGCAAAGGAGAAGACUUGCCCCCCUGAUCUGCUCCGCCGGCAGACGCAGGGUAUCCAGCGGCCUGUCAAGAGUCUUGCCGGAGAGAUGUCGCUGAAGCAAAGGGAGAAGGUGGGUACAGGCCUGAUUCCACAGGCGCAUAAUGCAAAGGAGAAGACAUGCCCCCCUGAUCAACUCCGCGGGCAGACGCAGGGUAUCCAGCGGCCUGUCAAGACUGAAGCACGACUUGCUGGAGAGAAGAAGCACAAAACUGAAGCACAUCUUGCCGGAGAGAAAAAGCACACGAAAGGCAAUGCGUCUUUUCCAGCGAAAAGAACCACUACACUACUCAAAGCAAGAACGAGUUCCCACUGUUCCGAUGAAUGUACCAGUCGUCCCAUCGAUACUAACGACCAUGGCAACACUGUUGCCACCCCGGAACAGAGGGAAGAAUCUGCCGCAAUCAAGAUAGAUAAAGAAGUGGAGUACAUAACCCAAAAGUUGAACAAGUUGGGAGUGCGAGAUGAUAUUGGCUUUGAGGAGUACUAUAAAUGCUUGAUGAAUCUGCCUUCCGACCCCUCCGUUGAUACUUCCAUCAGAUUGGAUGAUACAGAUCUUUAUGACAUGGACAUCCGCCACGCGGUGUAUCGCAUCAGAUCCUACAAGUUGUCACAAAAGGAGUCUAAGAAUGAGUUGUGCCAUGAUAAACUGAAAGAUUGCCCUGUGGAGCUUCUUGACAGGGACGAAUUUCCUACAGAUUUCCUCGUGAAGAUGCAAUAUUUUAGGUUCUUGGAGGAAGAAGGUGUAUUAGACUGGUUCUUCCACCCUGAACUCUGCAAGCUUGCUUGCCUGAAUGACUACCAGCGUCUAGUGCCUCGGGAUCAUGGUGCUGUUUUUGAUUGGGAGUAUGCUGAUUGGGAGUUGUACCGCAGUUACUUUCAUAGCUAUGAGAUGCAACAUGAAUACAUCGAGUACUUUGAAACAUUAUUAAGGGAACUUAAGUGGUUGAAAGAUUGUCUACCGGUUAACGAUACUUCUCCUACUGCAAGCAAAAUACGGACCAGAGGAAUUUAUCAAGCAACUAAGAUUGCCACUCGCUUUCCCAAGAUCACAACUCAUUUAGUUCGUAUUGGCUUCAGUGAUUGUCUUACUUACAUGGGCAUUGAGGCUAGGUGGUGUAACGGAUCCGAUGGUCUCCAUUUCGAGAUAUGGAAGCGAGUCACUCAACAAAAGGAGAGUUUCGAAAAUGCUUUGAAGGAAGUCUAUUUACUGAACAAGUGUCCGUCGCGGCAAGAUAGCAUCAAGUAUGCCAUAGAGUAUGACCAUUCCCUUAUGAAACUAGAGUUUCUUCAUUGCACGGCAAGUGUUCCCAAGGAAGUAUCAGAGGAGAAAGCUCAGGAGUUGAUUACAGAGAAAGUUAAAAAGCUGAGGAUAAAAUCCAAAUUCUUUGACGAGUAUAUCAGAAAGAAGAUACGCAUUGCCAAAGCUAUAAGAUUGAUUACCGAGGUUUAA